UCUAAUUUUUCUUGAUCGUGUUCAAAACGAUGUUUGUUAUUCCAAUUCAAUGGUGUCCACCCACCACUGACAUGGAACUAGAUUCCUCUUCACAGCACAUCAAUCAUACUGAGGUCGAUGCUAACAGAAUUUCACCAAUUAAAAACGGAAAAACUUGUCACCAGUGUCGACGAAAAACAAGCAACAUUACAACCACAUGUAAAAAUUCAAGAAAAGGAAAGCAAUGUGUUUUAAAGUUUUGUAACAAAUGCCUCUUGAAUAGGUUUGUUUACCAUUUUGUGUGUUUGUUCUAAAAGUAGAGUGACUUUGUAGGAAGAAAAAAGGUCAAAAACCUACCGGUGCGCUAUCUCAUACCGCCAAGGCAUCUGGUUUUAAAUGUGUGUCAGAAAUGCUUAUCAAGAAGGCUUAUGAAGAUUUAGAAUUGAAUAAAACUACUUUAAAAGCGAAUUCGUCCUCAUAAGCUUCUUCCUCACAACAUGACUCAAAAUUAUGAAGAUUUAUCUAACCAAUCGAGUGGGAGCGUGCCUAUCAAAGAAAUUGAGGUCCCUAAGAAUGUUGGUGAUAUGUUAGAGUCUUAGUUAAAUAACGCCAAGGAAGCGGAAGAUGUUAGGAAUAACAUCACCAUUGUUGAACCUUCUAAUGGGACACCUGGAACUAAGAAGAUAGUGAUCACCAAUUUGAAUCCUGAGAAGAUAAGAAAGAUAGAAGUUGUUGUUGAAGAGCUAAUGGAAUCAAGUGACUCUGAGUCAGAUGAAGACUGAGAUAACUUCUUGAAUUCAAUUAGGUGUGAAGACUAAAGGCUUCAAUGAUAAAUGGAGCUUCUGAUCUAUAAGAUUUAACUUUUUCUUUCAGUUUGAUGACCCGUGUAUCUGGACAUAUUUAUUUCUAUUUGUAAAACAAUAACAUAUUUAAUGCUUGUGCAUCUCUAGAUGUUGUUCUAGUUGUUCUUCUCAUGUUUUCACUAUGUACGUACUAACAUACUAAGGGCUUAAUAACAACCAGUUGGAUUUUUUUAUUACUUUA